rnacentral:rRNA from 1 species
AAAUUGAAGAGUUUGAUCAUGGCUCAGAUUGAACGCUGGCGGCAGGCCUAACACAUGCAAGUCGAACGGUAACAGGAAGCAGCUUGCUGCUUCGCUGACGAGUGGCGGACGGGUGAGUAAUGUCUGGGAAACUGCCUGAUGGAGGGGGAUAACUACUGGAAACGGUGGCUAAUACCGCAUAACGUCGCAAGACCAAAGAGGGGGACCUUCGGGCCUCUUGCCAUCAGAUGUGCCCAGAUGGGAUUAGCUUGUUGGUGAGGUAACGGCUCACCAAGGCGACGAUCCCUAGCUGGUCUGAGAGGAUGACCAGCCACACUGGAACUGAGACACGGUCCAGACUCCUACGGGAGGCAGCAGUGGGGAAUAUUGCACAAUGGGCGCAAGCCUGAUGCAGCCAUGCCGCGUGUAUGAAGAAGGCCUUCGGGUUGUAAAGUACUUUCAGCGGGGAGGAAGGUGUUGUGGUUAAUAACCACAGCAAUUGACGUUACCCGCAGAAGAAGCACCGGCUAACUCCGUGCCAGCAGCCGCGGUAAUACGGAGGGUGCAAGCGUUAAUCGGAAUUACUGGGCGUAAAGCGCACGCAGGCGGUCUGUCAAGUCGGAUGUGAAAUCCCCGGGCUCAACCUGGGAACUGCAUUCGAAACUGGCAGGCUUGAGUCUUGUAGAGGGGGGUAGAAUUCCAGGUGUAGAGGUGAAAUGCGUAGAGAUCUGGAGGAAUACCGGUGGCGAAGGCGGCCCCCUGGACAAAGACUGACGCUCAGGUGCGAAAGCGUGGGGAGCAAACAGGAUUAGAUACCCUGGUAGUCCACGCCGUAAACGAUGUCUACUUGGAGGUUGUGCCCUUGAGGCGUGGCUUCCGGAGCUAACGCGUUAAGUAGACCGCCUGGGGAGUACGGCCGCAAGGUUAAAACUCAAAUGAAUUGACGGGGGCCCGCACAAGCGGUGGAGCAUGUGGUUUAAUUCGAUGCAACGCGAAGAACCUUACCUGGUCUUGACAUCCACAGAACUUUCCAGAGAUGGAUUGGUGCCUUCGGGAACUGUGAGACAGGUGCUGCAUGGCUGUCGUCAGCUCGUGUUGUGAAAUGUUGGGUUAAGUCCCGCAACGAGCGCAACCCUUAUCCUUUGUUGCCAGCGAUUCGGUCGGGAACUCAAAGGAGACUGCCAGUGAUAAACUGGAGGAAGGUGGGGAUGACGUCAAGUCAUCAUGGCCCUUACGACCAGGGCUACACACGUGCUACAAUGGCGCAUACAAAGAGAAGCGACCUCGCGAGAGCAAGCGGACCUCAUAAAGUGCGUCGUAGUCCGGAUUGGAGUCUGCAACUCGACUCCAUGAAGUCGGAAUCGCUAGUAAUCGUGGAUCAGAAUGCCACGGUGAAUACGUUCCCGGGCCUUGUACACACCGCCCGUCACACCAUGGGAGUGGGUUGCAAAAGAAGUAGGUAGCUUAACCUUCGGGAGGGCGCUUACCACUUUGUGAUUCAUGACUGGGGUGAAGUCGUAACAAGGUAACCGUAGGGGAACCUGCGGUUGGAUCACCUCCUUACCUUAAAGAAGC